UUUUUUUAUUUUAUUUUUCUUUCAUUCUUUCUUUCCUUAAGCGAGAAUAAGUAUGCAAUUUGCUCCUGGUGAGAGGGGAACGGGCUUAUGGAUGAAACAGCUAAGACAACCAAGGGGAGAGACCCUUUAUUAGAAUUUGCAAUCUGACUGACAGGUACUGGGGUUGAACCGUCUGCACACAGAAAUAUCAAGUUGCUUCAGAAUUAAGUUGGGCGAGAAAAAAUGGGGCAAUUUGGUAAGGAAAUAGCGACCCAUAAAAUUCAGCAAUUUCUAUUUGUGUUGUGGGACCAAUCUUUCCAACCUAACAGCUAAAUUAAAACAAGAAAAAAUUCAGAGGAAGGCUACUGAAACCUCUAAAUGUUUCUUAACCUACACAUUCAUUAAACCAUAUCUUGUUUCUGCCUGCCUUUAAUUUUCACAUCUGCAGAAUUGCUUUUAAAAAUCAAAUUAGAUCUUUUGAAGGCACUUAAAUUGCAACAACCUUAUGUUUUUUUAUAUACUCUUGGGUUUCAGGCUUUUCAUCUGGGUUGUGCGUCCAAUUAAUGGGAUAUCUCAAGGAAGCACUAAUCAUUUCGAAAACUUGAGCAUCUAAAAAGCAAGCAGACUAUUUUCAUUAUAACUGAUUGGAUUGAGAAUACGCUACAGAGGAAAUGUUCAAUAAUUAUGAUAACUUUUUUUAGAUGAGAUCACAAAAAAAUGUCAGUCACAUAAGGUGCUUUUCAUUGCAGUGAACUCUUUGAUGUCCAUUUCAGUUGAUUCCUCUUUGGGGCUCAGCCUCGGGCAUGUCAGAAGGCUGUGUAGAGAGUGGGUUUACACUGAUUUUAUCAGGCCGGAUAAUUCACUUGGCAAAGCAAGCGUCUAUUACUAGAUGUAUCUCAUAUGUUACUAAAUGUUUAUGAAAUUUUACUAUUGUCAAAACACAUCGUAAAUUAACACCUCCUCAUAACACAUGGAAACUACUCCCCAGGAGAGAAAACUGUUGUCUGAAGAGCUCAAAAGAUUUUUGCCUAAGGAAAUUACUGUCGGUAAACUCUGACCAAGAUUUAAAUAUGCCUGCAGCCAAGUUUUAUUCUUAAAUCACCUAAUUAUAUCUUUCUUUCUGUAUUAUUUGCCUGAUGGAAAAUUUUACUCAUUAAAUGUUAUGUUAUGUUAUACAGAAUCAUUCGUUAAUAUUUGCAGAUUAAUUAAAUACAAUAAUUUUAUCAAAUUCAGUAAUAACAAUAUUUUGUUUUCACCUUUCUAUACAUGAUGCCAAACACCCAGAUAAAACCUGGAAGAGAAAGAGUCAAAAGCCCAGAUGUUUUUAAAGAUCCAGAUGUAUGGUGUCAAGUAAACAAAACAUCAAGGUUUUUUACUAUUUUUUUUUCCCAUUUUCAUCCAGAUGUUUGGUGUCACAAAGACACAGUCUUAAUCUGUUCAGUCAUAAUCACAGUACUCUUUAAUAUCAUUUGCCAAUGUUUAAAUCCAUCCUUCACCAAAUUAUUUCUAAAAAUCCUGCUGAAUUCAUUCAUGGGGGAAAACACAAGGAUAUUUUCUUUAGAAGCAAAAAAAAUAUAAUGCCCAGCAGACUUACAACACAAGAACAGCCAGAAUGAUGCCCAAGUUUUUCUGUUGAAAAACACUUCCUAUCUGCUUUUUUAAAUGACGAAAGAUAAUUCAACUUAAAUGGUUGGAAGGGCAGCUUAAUUUUAAUUGACAUGCAUGUGGUAGUUCCAGUUCUAACAGGUAGUUUAGGGGAAUCACAGGCUCUCAAGUACACAUGAUGCCCAUCUUUCCAGUGGGUUCCUUUCCCAAUUACUAAGUCUGGAAUGAAAUGACUAGACAUUUUAGGAACAAUUUAUGCUGUGGUGACUUUGAGUAUGUAAAAGCACUCCUUAGGAAUUGAAAGACUCGAUGUUGAGCUUCCACAUGUCCAGGUACUGUGUGACCUUAAGCUCUGAGCCUCCAUUUUCACAUCUUUAAAAUGGGAAUAAAUACCCUGCCCCCAGUUAACCUGAGGAUCUAAUGAUUUGGUAGCAAAAAGUGUUUUGCCAAUACAAAUUUAUUAAUUAUAAAAUAUUUGACAAUUAUUUUCAUGUAUUAUUAAUGUUUAAGUGUUUCUGUGUGAAAGUACGGGUACUGUUAAUAAGGACUGCAGUGGCACAACAGAGAUAGCCACACUCAGAAAGAUCUGGCCAACUAUUUGCUAUUUAUACAUGGCUGCAAGGAUAACUAUAAUUCCUGGGUGUGCAAGACAAGAACCAGAUUCUACCCGCCUCUGCUCCUAUGCCCUUCCUGCAUUUCAUCCAGCUGAAUGGAGAAAUACUUUUAAGAAUACUCUCUUUGGCAACUAAAUCAAUUAAUCAUAGAUCCCAUUGAUUGGGUGUCUAUUACAGUAGGUCACUUCUGCCAGUCUAGAACCAUAUUCCUGACCCACUGAUGCACUUAAUUCUGAUGGACUCACCCACCCUCCUGACCAAUGGGGUCAAGACUCAAACGUUUGCAUAUAUCAAUUUCGUGGCCACUAAAUAUUCAAACAAAUCUCAUGGCUUCUAUCAAGGGAGAGGGUUUUCAUGGUUUUUUGCUAUUAGCAAAAUGUGAGUCAUAAGAAACUGUCAUCAAAGAACAAGCCAACUUUCUUCCCUGCAACAGAAGAGGGUUUCUAAAUGAGAAAUCAGCUUGUAAAAUGCUAAGCACUACAACUCUUUCAAGCAUUUUAAUCUAACACUUUUUUUUUGCCAUGGCUCUUAAGAUUUUGGUGAAAAAACCCUCAAAAUUUUGAGCUCUACUUUUAAGACACAGAAACAUCCUUGAAGUACAAAAAAAGGCAUAAAAUAAACGAAAGGCAGACAUCUUGGUUAAUUUUAAGUUUUUAAAAAUCUGCAGUGUUGUUACAGUAAAAAGAAAGAAAAAAUGCUCACACAUUGAGAAAUUUCUGUAAAAGUUUUGUCUGACUUUUUUCUCAAUGAUGUGACUACAGAGGCAAUGGGAGGUGUCCUCAGGUUUUAGUGCCUCAAACUUUGAAGUCACAAAUCACUCAUCAGCAUGGGGCCAUGUGUGAACACUUGCUGCAAAGAGCCAAAAAUCAAUACAAAAGGAAACAAUAAUAAUAAAAGGGAAGAUUUCCGCCGCCAGAAUAAGGAAAGGUGUGUGAGCUGGAAGAAAGUACAGUACGAAGCCCAUGACAAGUCAUGAUAAAUGGGUCGUUAUAAAAUUCAUGUUUAGGCAGCACCAGGCCGGGGAUAAUGCCAUUCGUCAUGGCAACACUAGGCCGCUAAUGAGCCCUCAUUGCAUAUUCAUGUCUAUGGCGUUUCUUCUCUCCCUCCCACCCUGAACUAGUGCCUGGAAAUAUCUCCACCUCAAGCUGAAGCUCGGGCCUUCUUCUUCUUCCCCCCUUUUUUUUUUUUUUUUUAUUUGUUAUGUUGCAGCAAUUACACUGUAAAAGUGCUGC
rnacentral:lncRNA from 1 species